UUAGCGAGCCGGAUGGUCGCCCGCCGAUAAGAUCGGCGAGAGGAAAGUCCGAGCUCUAAAGAGCAGCGUAACGGCUAAUGGCCGUCCGUCGAAAGACGAGGAUUAGAGGACAGAGACGAGGCUCCGUCAAUUGUUGUAUGACGGAGAGUGAGACGACCAAUCUCUACGCGGAGCAAGACCAAAUAGGUCUCGAUUAAGGAGUUGCUCGCUCCUACUGCAAAUUGAUCUUCGUUAGCGGGUAGUAAAUUCCGCGAAGCGAAACACGUCAGUAUCGAGACGGGUAAGGUCGCUUGAUCCUGCCAGUAAUGGCGGGACUAGAUAGAUGACCAUCUCAUUCUGUGCAAACAGGAUAAGACAAAACUCGGCUUACAGGCUCGCUAAUAUU
rnacentral:RNase_P_RNA from 1 species